CCUACGGGAGGCAGCAGUGGGGGAUAUUGCACAAUGGAGGAAACUCUGAUGCAGCGACGCCGCGUGAGGGAAGACGGUCUUCGGAUUGUAAACCUCUGUCUGUGGGGAAGAAAGUGACGGUAGCCAAAGAGGAAGCUCCGGCUAACUACGUGACAGCAGCCGCGGUAAUACGUCGGGAGCGAGCGUUGUCCGGAAUUACGGGGUGAAAAGGGAGCGUAGGUGGGCGAGAAAGUUGAAUGUUAAACCUACCGGCUUAACUGGGAGCUGCGUUCAAAACUUCCUGUCUUGAGUGAAUGAGAGGCAGGCGGAAUUCCUAGUGUAGCGGUGAAAUGCGUAGAUAUUAGGAGGAACACCAGUGGCGAAGGCGGCCUGCUGGGCUUUAACUGACGCUGAGGCUCGAAAGCGUGGGUAGCAAACAGGAUUAGAUACCCCUGUAGUC
rnacentral:rRNA from 1 species